rnacentral:rRNA from 1 species
UACGUAGGUGGCAAGCGUUGUCCGGAUUUACUGGGCGUAAAGAGCGCGCAGGCGGUCGUCCAAGUCGCGUGUGAAAGCCCCCGGCUCAACUGGGGAGGGUCACGCGAUACUGGUCGACUCGAAGGCAGGAGAGGGUAGUGGAAUUCCCGGUGUAGUGGUGAAAUGCGUAGAUAUCGGGAGGAACCCCAGUGGCGAAGGCGACUACCUGGCCUGUUCUUGACGCUGAGGCGCGAAAGCUAGGGGAGCAAACGGG